GACGAACGCUGGCGGCGUGCUUAACACAUGCAAGUCGAACGGAAAGGCCCUGCGUUUGUGGGGUGCUCGAGUGGCGAACGGGUGAGUAACACGUGAGUAACCUGCCCUUGACUUUGGGAUAACUUCAGGAAACUGGGGCUAAUACCGGAUAGGAGCUCCUGCUGCAUGGUGGGGGUUGGUAAGUUUCGGCGGUUGGGGAUGGACUCGCGGCUUAUCAGCUUGUUGGUGGGGUAGUGGCUUACCAAGGCUUUGACGGGUAGCCGGCCUGAGAGGGUGACCGGCCACAUUGGGACUGAGAUACGGCCCAGACUCCUACGGGAGGCAGCAGUGGGGAAUAUUGCACAAUGGGCGGAAGCCUGAUGCAGCAACGCCGCGUGCGGGAUGACGGCCUUCGGGUUGUAAACCGCUUUCGCCUGUGACGAAGCGUGAGUGACGGUAAUGGGUAAAGAAGCACCGGCUAACUACGUG
rnacentral:rRNA from 1 species